GACGAACGCUGGCGGCGUGCCUAAUACAUGCAAGUCGAACGCAGUGGGGACGGGUGAGUAACACGUGGGUAACCUCCCAUCAGAGGGGAUAACACUUGGAAACAGGUGCUAAACCGAUACUGAUGGAUGGACCCGCUGUGCAUUAGCUAGUUGGUGAGGUAAAGGCUCACCAAGGCGACGAUACAUAGCCGGCCUGGGAGGGUGGACGGGCACCAUGGGAAUGAGACAAGGGCCAGACUCCUACGGGAGGCAGGAGUAGGGAAUCUUUGGCAAUGGACGGAAGUCUGACCGAGCAACGCCGCGGGAGUGAAGAAGGUGUUCGGGUCGUAAAGCUCUUUUGUGAGAGAAGCGGUAACUAACCAGAAAGGGACGGCUAACUACGUGCCAGCAGCCGCGGUAAUUC
rnacentral:rRNA from 1 species